GACGAACGCUGGCGGCGUGCUUAACACAUGCAAGUCGAGCGGAAAGGCCCUGCUUUUGUUGGGUGCUCGAGUGGCGAACGCGUGAGUAACACGUGAGUAACACGCCCUUGACUUUGGGGUAACUUCACGAAACACGGGCUAUUACCGGGUAGGAGCUCCUGCUCCAUGGUGGGGGUUGGAAAGUUUCGGCGGUUCGGGCUGGACUCGCGGCUUAUCAGCUUGUUGGUGGGGUAGGUGCUUACCAAGGCUUCGACGGGUAGCCCGCCUUGGAGGGUGAACAGGCACAUUGGGACUGCGAGACGGCCCAGACUCGUACGGGAGGCAGCAGGGGGGAAUAUUGCACAAUGGGCGGAAGCCAGAUGCAGCAACGCCGCGUGCGGGAUGCCGGCCUUCUGGGUGUAAACCGCUUUCGCAUGUGACGAAGCGUGAGUGACGGUAAUGGGUAAAGAAGCACCGGCUAACUACGUG
rnacentral:rRNA from 1 species